GCAUGGCGGUAAUGGGGCCGCACACUGGCAGAUGGGCGCUUCCUGACCCAGAAGCCCAACGGAGCUGAAGCCCCCAACUUCACUCUCACCUCUACCUGCUCCCUGGAAGGGUCACAUGGAAUGAUGGUGAUCGAUAUAGACGUGAUCUCAGAGUUCACUCCCUCAUCAUACAGUGGAGGAAACGAGGCCCAGGGAGGGGCGGAACAUUUUUCCAAGUCAUACAGCAAGAACUCAGAGGCCUCUUGGUUCCUGCUCUUGCCUUGAGGUGGUUCUGCGGGGCGCUCCAGAGCCCCCAAGAAAUUCUUCUGAAAUUCAGUUCUCCACAGGACACCUGGGCUCCUCCUCUGUCCUCCCAGCCCCUCACAGAGGAGUAGUUUCCCUUCUGGCCUGCCUAAGUCUGUCUUGUCUUCUGGACUUCAGUGGCCACCAUGGACCUCCCAAGCUUUCUCUUGGGCUCUUCCAGUGCCGACCUCAGCUUGGCUGCCUCACACUCUGUCUGGUGGGCACUUACAGGAGCCAUGUCCACAGACCACCUCGCCUGGGCUGUGGAGGCCCCGUUCUGAGACCACGUGCAGUCCAAAAAAGGAAGCUAAAAGGGGUCAGAGGAAAACAUCCCCGUGUAGGGUGAGGGUGAAUCUCAGUCUCCCUGUCAACUCUCUUUAUCCUGACAUCCAGAAUUCCAGACCUUUGUGGGCACUGAUCCCUGAGACUGGGCUCUUUAAGCUCUUUCACUGAUCCCUGGGGUCCGAAACUUUCAGCUUGCACUUUGGUUUGGUAAACCACUGACUGUCCUACCAAACGCCCCCGCACCCCACAAACUCAACCUGUGCUCUUCAUGUGCUAUCUCCUGUUCGAUCCCCACACUGACCUUCUGGGUUAGGGACUUGCAUGUCCCCAUUUUAUAGAUGAGGAGCCUGAGGCCCAGAGAGGCUGGAGUGCAAUGGUAUGAUCUUGGCUCACUGCAACCUCCGCCUCCUGGAUUCAAGCAAUUCUCCUGCCUCAGCUUCCCAAAUAGAUUCCAGACAUUGUAUGGAAAAGCAUCGUGAAAAUCCCUGGCCUGUUCUGCUCUGUUCUGAUUACCGGUGCGUGCAGCCCGCAGUCACGUACCCGCUGGUUGCUCAAUCGAUCACGACCCUCUCACACGGACCCCCUUAGAGCUGUAAGCCCUUAAAAGGGACAGGAAUUGCUCGCUCGGGGAGCUCGGUUUUUGGAGACGUGAGUCCGCCGGUGCUCCCAGCUGAAUAAAGCCCUUUCCUUCCACAACUCGGUUUCUGAGGGGUUCUUUUCUGC
rnacentral:lncRNA from 1 species